AGAAAAGAGAGGAAGAGGGAAGCGUGGGAUUGAUGAGUGGAUUAUUAGAGGAUGUGGAAGCGUAUUAGGGCCUUGAUUAGGUUUUAAAAAGGGAAGAAAAACGAAGAAUAGUGAUUAGCGAAAAACCCAGAAAACAGAGGAGGAAAUUUUUGAGAAUUCGA